ACGCUGGCGGCAUGCUUAACACAUGCAAGUCGAACGAGAAUCUGUGGAUCGAGGAUUCGUCCAAGAGAAGCAGAGGACAGUGGCGGACGGGUGAGUAACGCGUGAGGAACCUGCCUUUCAGAGGGGGACAACAGUUGGAAACGACUGCUAAUACCGCAUAACGCGUAGAGGUCGCAUGGCCUUUACGCCAAAGAUUUAUCGCUGAAAGAUGGCCUCGCGUCUGAUUAGCUAGUUGGUGAGGUAACGGCCCACCAAGGCGACGAUCAGUAGCCGGACUGAGAGGUUGAACGGCCACAUUGGGACUGAGAUACGGCCCAGACUCCUACGGGAGGCAGCAGUGGGGAAUAUUGGGCAAUGGGCGCAAGCCUGACCCAGCAAUGCCGCGUGAAGGAAGAAGGCCUUCGGGUUGUAAACUUCUUUUGUCAGGGACGAGUAGAAGACGGUACCUGACGAAUAAGCCACGGCUAACUACGUG
rnacentral:rRNA from 1 species